AUUCACCAGAUCUGACUUGAUCAACCGUUUCAAGGUCCCUGUUUGUGUCCUCAUAUCCUUCGUGGACUCGUUGGAAGUGGGCUACAGCAAACACAAGAAUCCCUAUCACAACCUGACGCAUGCGGCUGAUGUCACACAGACCAUUCAUUACCUGCUCCUCAAGACCGGCAUGGUGGUACCUUCAGGGUUGGUGACCACAGUGUCAGUGGCAGUGAUGGAAAGAGGUCCAGU